rnacentral:rRNA from 1 species
GACGAACGCUGGCGGCGUGCCUAAUACAUGCAAGUUGAGCGAUGAAGAUUGGUGCUUGCACCAAUUUGAAGAGCAGCGAACGGGUGAGUAACGCGUGGGGAAUCUGCCUUUGAGCGGGGGACAACAUUUGGAAACGAAUGCUAAUACCGCAUAACAACUUUAAACAUAAGUUUUAAGUUUGAAAGAUGCAAUUGCAUCACUCAAAGAUGAUCCCGCGUUGUAUUAGCUAGUUGGUGAGGUAAGGCUCACCAAGGCGAUGAUACAUAGCCGACCUGAGAGGGUGAUCGGCCACAUUGGGACUGAGACACGGCCCAAACUCCUACGGGAGGCAGCAGUAGGGAAUCUUCGGCAAUGGACGAAAGUCUGACCGAGCAACGCCGCGUGAGUGAAGAAGGUUUUCGGAUCGUAAAACUCUGUUGGUAGAGAAGAACGUUGGUGAGAGUGGAAAGCUCAUCAAGUGACGGUAACUACCCAGAAAGGGACGGCUAACUACGUG